rnacentral:rRNA from 1 species
CAAGUCGAACGAGAAAGUGGAGCAAUCCAUGAGUAAAGUGGCGACCGGGUGAGUAACACGUGACUAACCUACCUCCGAGUGGGGAAUAACUCCGGGAAACCGGGGCUAAUACCGCAUAACAUCGCAAGAUCAAAGCAGCAAUGCGCUUGGAGAGGGGGUCGCGGCUGAUUAGCUUGUUGGCGGGGUAACGGCCCACCAAGGCGAAGAUCGGUAUCCGGCCUGAGAGGGCGCACGGACACACUGGAACUGAAACACGGUCCAGACUCCUACGGGAGGCAGCAGUGGGGAAUUUUGCGCAAUGGGGGAAACCCUGACGCAGCAACGCCGCGUGGAGGAUGAAGCCCUUUGGGGCGUAAACUCCUUUCGACUCGGACGAUGAUGACGGUACGAGUGGAAGAAGCACCGGCCAACUCUGUGCCAGCAGCCGCGGUAAUACAGAGGGUGCGAGCGUUGUUCGGAAUUAUUGGGCGUAAAGGGCGCGUAGGCGGUGCGGUAAGUCACCUGUGAAAUCUCCUGGCUUAACUGGGAGCCUGCAGGCGAAACUACCGUGCUGGAGUGUGGGAGAGGUGCGUGGAAUUCCCGGUGUAGCGGUGAAAUGCG